rnacentral:rRNA from 1 species
UCUGGUGACUAUAGCAAGGAGGUCACACCUGUUCCCAUGCCGAACACAGAAGUUAAGCU